rnacentral:sRNA from 1 species
AUAUUAGUAGUCAUGUAAGUAGUCAUGUUAGUAUUCAUGUGAGUGAUGAUG